rnacentral:rRNA from 1 species
AACGAACGCUGGCGGCAUGCCUAACACAUGCAAGUCGAACGGGACCUUCGGGUCUAGUGGCGCAGGGGUGCGUAAGGCGGGGUAAUCUGCCCUUAGGUGCGCAAUAACGGGCGGAAAGGAGGCGUAAGACCUGAUAAUGUCGUCGGAGCAAAGAGUUAGCGCGUUUGGGUGGGUCCGCGUUGGAUUAGCCGGUUGGGAGGGUAAAAGCCUACGAAGGCGACGAUCCAUAGCUGGUCUGAGAGGAUGAUCAGAGACACUGGGACUGAGACACGGCCCAGACUCCUACGCGAGGCAGCAGUGGCGGAUACUGGAAUACGGGCGACAGCAUGAACCCGCAAUGCCGCGUGACUGAUGAAGGACUUAGGGUUGUAAAGCUCUCUUACACGGGGUGAUAAUGACAGUACCGUGAGAAUAAGCUCCGGCUAACUACGUG